rnacentral:rRNA from 1 species
UACGGAGGGAGCUAGCGUUGUUCGGAAUUACUGGGCGUAAAGCGCACGUAGGCGGCUUUUUAAGUCAGGGGUGAAAUCCCGGGGCUCAACCCCGGAACUGCCCUUGAAACUGGAAGGCUAGAAUCUUGGAGAGGCGAGUGGAAUUCCGAGUGUAGAGGUGAAAUUCGUAGAUAUUCGGAAGAACACCAGUGGCGAAAGGCGACUCGCUGGACAAGUAUUGACGCUGAGGUGCGAAAGCGUGGGUAGCAAACAGG